rnacentral:rRNA from 1 species
CGCGUAGGCGGCGUCGCAAGUCCGUGGUGAAAUCUCCAGGCUCAACUUGGAGUCUGCCGCGGAAACUGCGGUGCUUGAGUGUGGGAGAGGUGCGUGGAAUUCCCGGUGCAGCGGUGAAAUGCGUAGAUAUCGGGAGGAACACCUGUGGCGAAAGCGGCGCACUGGACCACAACUGACGCUGAGGCGCGAAAGCUAGGGGAGCAAACA